GCUGGGUGGAGUGAUGCACACCUGUAAUCCCAGCUACUUGGGAGGCUGAGGCAGGAGGAUGUAAGUUUGAGGCCAGGCUUGAAAACAAUCCCUGUCUCAA
rnacentral:sRNA from 1 species